rnacentral:rRNA from 1 species
AGCGAACGCUGGCGGCAGGCUUAACACAUGCAAGUCGAGCGGGCAUAGCAAUAUGUCAGCGGCAGACGGGUGAGUAACGCGUGGGAACGUACCUUUUGGUUCGGAACAACUGAGGGAAACUUCAGCUAAUACCGGAUAAGCCCUUACGGGGAAAGAUUUAUCGCCGAAAGAUCGGCCCGCGUCUGAUUAGCUAGUUGGUGAGGUAAUGGCUCACCAAGGCGACGAUCAGUAGCUGGUCUGAGAGGAUGAUCAGCCACAUUGGGACUGAGACACGGCCCAAACUCCUACGGGAGGCAGCAGUGGGGAAUAUUGGACAUUGGGCGCAAGCCUGAUCCAGCCAUGCCGCGUGAGUGAUGAAGGCCCUAGGGUUGUAAAGCUCUUUUGUGCGGGAAGAUAAUGACGGUACCGCAAGAAUAAGCCCCGGCUAACUUCGUG